GAGCGGUCGCUGCGGCAUUUAAAUGCCGGAGAGGAAAGUCCGGGCUUCACAGGGCAGGAUGCCUGAUAACGUCAGGUGGGAGCGAUCCUAAGGAAAGUGCAACAGAAAGUAUACCGCUGCUUUAUGCAGUAAGGGUGAAAUGGCAGUGUAAGAGACUACCGGUCAGGCGGUAACGCAGGACGCAUUGUAAACCCCAUCCGAAGCAAGUCCAUGAAGGAACCAUAUGGCGGCCCGUCAUGUUCCGGGUAGGACGCUUGAGGCUUAAGGCGACUUAAGUCCUAGAUAGAUGACCGUUUUAAAUGACAUAACCCGGCUUACAGCACGGCUUCU
rnacentral:RNase_P_RNA from 1 species